rnacentral:lncRNA from 1 species
AUUACACAUACAAAUUUAUAUUAAUACACAAACAUGAAUAGAUCUUUUGCUUGUGAAACUGUCCACGUCUUUGAAUUGAAAGAAAGUCCGAUCAGAAGGUUGAGCCAUUGAACCCAACAAAUGAGGGCUGUAGACAAGAACACAAAAAAUGAGAUGUAGAAUGUAAUCAAGCAAUGUCGUAUCUCAUAAAAUAGAAGAAAGCAGAAAUUGACCUGAACAUCAGAAAAUUUGAUGUAGAAUCGGGAGCUAUGAAUGUGUAAGUUAGUUUGAAUGAUUUGUGCAAUAGUAGAACUCAGUUUUGCAUUAACAGUUGGAUCAAGGCCCCCAAUUGAUAUCAAUUCUCCAUAGGCAGCUGGCUCUUCAGUACCACCAAAUGCAAUUGCCACUCCUCCAUUCACCAAAAUACACAUAUACUGAAAUACAAACAAAACAAAGUAAGACUAAAAUUACAAAAAUGUUACUUGAGAAAAAAGUUACUAAUAGUUAAGACUACUAUUGAGAGUGUUACUUCGUUAAACAACUCGUGAUGAAGAAAAAACAAUGGUUGAAAAGGAAAAGGGUAUAAGUGGACUCAACGGAUUCGGGUCUUCCGAUGAUGUUUGCAAUCGCUUUGGUGGCAUCCCUUAGAAUGUUGGAAGCAAUAACAGGAUCAACAGGGACGUUGGUGAAGAGGUUCAAAGUAGGCAUUAUGUUGCCUUUGCUAGUUGCUAUUGCACUGACACGGUUUUUUUGUUCAUUUUGGUAUUCUCCUAUAUUUUUAUAUUAGGAAUGAAUCGACUAAAAGUUCUUACACUAUGUCUCAAAUUAAAAAUUCUUUUAUGAAAAACACAUCAAUUUAGUCUCAAGUUAUUUAAUCGACUAAAUAGUUGGAUGAUAUAAUAGUUUUGUUAACAAUAUAAGGUUUCAAUAUAGAAUAACAAAAAGUCUAAAAGAGACAAAGUUAGGGUUUCAUCGAAUACAAAAAUAGAUAAAUAUUACAAAAGGAUACUCGAGAAUAUAUAAUAAAACUUAAUGGACUCUAACUUAACAGACCCAAUAACAUAGUCCGAUACUUUAUUAUCUAACAAGUUUAAGGCUUUUAGUUGAUUUUAAUAGUUUAGGAACUAAACUAUCCUAUCAAAGAUAAAAUUAGUUUAGAUACUUUUCUUCCAUCUUUUCCUAUUAUCAACAUGUGUCGGUUUGAGUCGAAGCUAAUUAGCUUAGACACUUUAAACUACGGGUGGAUCCAUUCAAAGGCUAUGUGUGGUUAAAGCCAAACAUCUAAUUUCCCUAUUUUUAAAUUUUUUAUUAUUACAAAUAAAACACAAUACGUUAAGGAUAAGAACAACAACAAAUCAACGAGAACUCCUUUUUCCUUCUUGUUCUCUUAACAAUUAUCAAUGAUAUUAUUUUAGUCCAUAUUAUCAACAAAUUGAUAGGAAACCAUUUUCAUUGUAAUAUAUUGUAUUAAACAAUUUAUUUUUAAUAUAGUUUGUAUUAUUGUUUCUUUAAAAUUUUAGCCUCAUAUGUAUCAAAUGUCUAAAUCUGCCCAUGCUUUAAACAUGUGUUCCGUUUGAUCUUGGAACCAUAUGUAUGGAAAAAACUACGUGAGGGUUCUAUGCCUUUAGACUUGAGUGGCUGAAAGUAAUCGGUACAUCUUUCAGGUCCACAAACUAUGCCACUAUCAUAAUCCAUCACAUAACAAUCGUAUAUUAUAUAAAAAACAAAGCUAAUGUUACUAUAAAAAAUAUUAAUAAUUUAUUUUUCACCGACAAAAUCUUUAGUUUGAUGUCUGUGAGUUUAGAUCAGUUGGUAAAAGAUAAUUCAUAAUACUACAUCCAUCCUUAAUUAUAGGACCCUUUUGAAAAAAUAACGGGAAUUAAGAUAGUGGAUAUUUGUAUUAAAUAUGUUUGUAAUUACUAUUAUUUUUACAAUUUUAUCCUUUAAGAGAGAUAGUUGGUUUAUAUUUUCAACAUGUUAUUUAUUGUUGAUUGAAGAAAAAGAUGUAUAAUAAAUAGGGGCAUGUAUGUAAAGAAAUAAUUAAUAUAGUUGGAAAUAACAAAGGGGUCUUAUAAUUAGGGAUAAAAAAAAUUCUCAAAAAGAUCUUAUAAUUAAGGACGGAGGUAAUAUACAAGGUUUGGGAUUCGAACCGGAUACACCAUAGAAAAAAAUCUAUAGUUUGAUAUCAUCUCGCGACAAAGUUCAAAUAUUGAUGAUACAAGAUUUUAGUCCGUGGAAUGUCACUUGAAAUUGUACGGCUCCUGUAAUUUUCUUUGGUAAACUUGAUAUGAUACUAGUAUGCUAGAACUUUUACAUUACAUCGUAUAUGGUAACUGAUUAUUUUAACUUCACGAACAACGAAAAGCACAACUUCAUAAAUGUCAGUUCUUUUUAUAUUUGUUUGACAAUUUCAACGUUAGAUAUAUCUGAUAAUGUCUUCAAUUUUUUGAAUAUGUUAGACAUUUGAAAUUAUAAGUUUAAAUUUGGUUUCCUAAACUUAUUUUUAGGCCAAAUACCUCACUGGAUCCUUUAAGUUUCACGUUUGUUUUGGAUAUGUCCUUUAAAUUUCGAAGGUUUCAGAUAAGUCCUUUAAGUUUCGGGUUUGUUUUGGAUAUGUCCAUUCUGUCAACCUCUAUUAAGCCAAAGUUGUUAUGUCCAUUAAAUCAAAGCUGAUAUGUCCGUUAAGUGGGUGAGGUGGUUCUCUCUGACACUUGACAUCAAUUUUUUUCCCAACUAGAUCAACUUUGGAGGUUGAUAGAAAGGACCUAUCUAAAACAAACUGGAAACUUAAAGGACCUAUCUGAAACCUUGGAAACUUAAAGACCUAUCUGAAACUUUAGAAACUUAAAGAAUCUAUACAAACAUGAAACUUAAAGGACCUGGAGAAAUAUUUGACCUAAUUUUUAGCUCAGUCCAUGCAAGUCACCUCCAUUUCUCUUAUAAUAUAAUAUAAAUCACUUCUAUCUUUUUUAUACAUGAGAAAUGAUAUUUGCACAACCAUUUCAUGACAACUUUCUCUCACAUACUCACAUUAUAUUUUUAUUCUCUCUCUUCAUUUUUCUCUCUCCAAAAAGAAGUUGUCUCGGAUGGAUGUUCAAAUAUCACUACUCUUUAUAUAUUUCAUUAUUCUCUAUCCCACGAUGAGUGUCACAAACUAUAUAAAUUGAUGAAUCUUGAAAAGAUGAAAAUGACACAAAAGGAUCAUUUUCCGAUUUUUCAUGUAUCAAAUGUAUUCGUUCACAACAAUUACGCAUACAAAUUUGUAAUAAUCCACAGAAAGAUGAAAUAUAUUUUUUCCUUGAGAAACUGCCCAAGUAUGUGAAAGACUGAUCAGAAGGUUGAGCCAUUGAACCCAAAAAAUGAGCGCUGCACCACAAACACAGAUAAACCAUGAAGUAAAAGAACAAAAAUUACAAAAAGAUAUAACUAUGGCAUUCAUCUCACAGAAAGGAAGCUGUUGGAUCGAUAUUGUUGCCACACCAUCCAUGAUAAAAUACGCUUGAGCAAAUUCAAAAUAAUAAUGAAAAUACAUAAAUCAUAUGAUACAUAUGACACAUCACUUGCUGACUUUGGUUGCUAAUUUAUUUUCAUAACCCUUUCUUUAUUUCCACGUGAACUGAUUUAACAAAAUGAUGGGAACUAAUAUCUUAUUACAAAAAAAUAGGGAAGUUUCUUGGAUUACAAUGUUGCAGUCAAACUCAAUCAAAAUGCAAGCUACCUUCCUAUGGGGAUACCAAUUUUAAAAUAACAGUAUGUCAAUAUCCAUUACAGUUUUAUAAGCUAAAAUCAUUUGAAAAGAAAGAAAAAAAACUAAAAUUUUUGGCAACCUUAAAAUAUUCAUUCAUAUUCCUCAAGGACAACAUCCUCACACGCAGUAUCCGCCAUAGGUUAUUGAUAUGAUGUUAAUACUCCAAGACUUUAUAAGAACAAUAUACUUUUCUUGUUAUUGUAGUCAAAGUAUUGCUAAACAACAUCAGAUAUCAAUCUCUACUUAAAUAACAUGUAUUAGCAACAAAUUUGCCCCAGAAGAGUAUUAAUUUAAUACCUAUCUUUGCCUCCUCCAACAAACACAACGAGAAACCUCUAAGUUCAUAGUAAUAAACAAGUUAGAAUGUACGAAAUGGCAUCACAUCAAAUAAGAAUGAAUGAAUGCAUCAAACUCACCAGCAUUCACAGUCAUAUAUACAUAAAAUAAGCUAUAAAGAAAUCG